rnacentral:rRNA from 1 species
GACGAACGCUGGCGGCAUGCCUAAUACAUGCAAGUCGAGCGAACAGAUGAAGUGCUUGCACUUCUGACGUUAGCGGCGAACGGGUGAGUAACACGUAAGGAAUCUACCUAUAAGCGGGGGAUAACAUUCGGAAACGGGUGCUAAUACCGCAUAAUAUCUUCUUCCGCAUGGAAGAAGAUUGAAAGACGGCUCUGCUGUCACUUAUAGAUGACCUUGCGGUGCAUUAGUUAGUUGGUGGGGUAACGGCCUACCAAGACGAUGAUGCAUAGCCGACCUGAGAGGGUGAUCGGCCACAUUGGGACUGAGACACGGCCCAAACUCCUACGGGAGGCAGCAGUAGGGAAUCUACCGCAAUGGGCGAAAGCCUGACGGAGCAAUGCCGCGUGAGUGAAGAAUGCCUUCGGGUCGUAAAACUCUGUUAUAAGAGAAGAACAAAUUGUAGAGUAACUGCUACAGUCUUGACGGUAUCUUAUCAGAAAGCCACGGCUAACUACGUGCCAGCCGCCGCGGUAA